GAGCUCUGAUUUCACUCUGUCCCCCAGCAUCCUCACUGGGCCCUUGUUUCUGCCCUGCUCUGUUCGUCCUCCUUCCUCACCCUUGGGAUUUCAGAGCUUUCAUCCUGAGCCCUGGUCCAAGGUCCACUGCCACCACCCACAACCUUGCCUACCAGGCCCCUGGCUCCCUGCCCUGACGCCCGCAGCUCCCAAUCAGGGUACCCCUGGCUUUUCUGUUGCUGGAUCAACCUAUGAGCAUCCUUGACAGUAACUCAUGAACUUGCCACAGCUUCUCCGAUGCCUGGCUCCCUUCUCUGAAAAGUUGGGGAGCUGCUACCUUACAGGGGUCUGUGCACAAGGGAAAAAAAUGGUUGAAAAAGUGCUUUGUAAAACUGGGAUUUGCUGUCAAAUGAGAAAGCUUAUUACUAAAGAUGUGAGAUGCAGAACACUUAACCAGCACUUAAACAAUCUUUUUUUUUUUUUUUUUUUACUGUCACGAAGGCUGAGCAGAGGGGCCGUGGAAUCCAGGAUGUCAGGACGGAGAUGCCACCUUGUUGUAUGCUACCCCAACGCCCCUCCCGCCCCACCUCUCCCCUCCCAGCUGACCUGGGGGUGGGGCGGGACAGAGGAUCCCCACCCGGGUGCAACACGUACAGUUCUGCAAGAUUCAGAAUAGCCUCAAAUCACCACAUUUUCGGAAAACGGAUGAAAAGCUGAUCAAACAGACGUUUGGUGCCAGGAUGAAGGGGAGCUGGGUCCUGCACGAUCGAGUUGGAGGCAAAGUGCGGGCUGGAGUUCUCUACAGCUGGAGGAGGAGCCGUCAGUCAUCCGUCAGGUCUGAAAGGGAAAGGAAACGAGGCGGAGCCUGGCUGCCGAGGUGGCCGGGUGGGCUGGUCAGAGCGCCCCCGUGUGGAGGGCAGGCCGAGGCCAGGGCGGGAGGCUGGCGCCCCGCCUGCUGGGAAACCACAGCCUAGUUGGAACUGGUUCAGAAUCCUGAUCAGAGACAUCACCCCCUUCUCCAUGCCUGGGGAGACAGAGGAGCUCCCAGCACCGGGCUCCUGGGCCCCCCUGCAGAGCCCCAGACGGCAGCAUCCCCGGACAGAAGUGAACAGCCCCGUGUACGUCCACGGGCUCUCACUCACAGGCACUCCCAUUCCUUGUGGCUGUUCUUUUCAUCGGCCUCAUGGUGGAGGAAGGGGAGGCUCAGAGGACCCUCAUGACUUGCCCAAGUUCCCGCAGGCGGCUGGUGCUGGACUGGCCCUGGGUUAUGUGGCUCCCAGUUACCUCCACGUGGAGGCCAGUUCUUGGGCCGUUGAGGGUCCAGAUGGCUUCCAGGAAUUCUCCCACCGAUGAAUGAAGAAGAGGACAUCCGAUGAACACGAUGGAAUAAAGUUUAAAUCUCCUGGUGAUUUGACAUGAAAUAUUGACAUCAAUGAACAUAACUCACAAUAGGUCCCUGCAGAGAGGACAGCACAGCCACACUGGGUAAGGAGGGUUGUCCAUCCAAGGAGCAGGGGAGUCCCCGCGUGAGGAAACUGGACAUGCCCUGAAUUCUUCCUGCUCAUCUAUGAAGGAAACUUGGUCGAAGUUUAUAUUCUCUCGAUAGAAUAUGACGUUCCAGAAUCCUUGUCCAACAAAGAGGGGGAUCGCGUCCCUCCUGGGGGGCUGUGACAUCACGUGUGUAAAGUGCCUGCAGGCCUCCUGCGUCCGUAACAGAUGCCAGUUCUUAGCCCCUUCCCUCCGUCUUUUCCUGGCGCGUGUCUCACAAAGAUGGUUUCAGUUCCUCCCGUGGGCCCCGCUAAGAGGAACCUGCUCCCCUCCGAGCCGCCGGCCCACCUCUUGUAAAGAGACCUACUCGAGAGAGGCUCAAAGGCUGAGGCAAAACAGCUACUUUCAAUCAACAUCUCGUUCUUUGCCAAGCACUCUCACCUGUGUUACCACAACUGUUCCUCAUCCAAUCCGUGCAAGGUGGGUAUUUCACCCCCAUACUGUAGGUCCUCUGGCCUCCGGAAGCCUUGUGGAGCUGGAUCGCUGGUGUGGGACCAGGAAUCUUUGUAAGGAGUGGCUGCCACACAGCCCGCUCUGCCCACAGGGAGCUGAGGCCCUCUGUCCCAAAGAACCAUAAAGCUGUGUGA